UACGGAGGGGGCUAGCGUUAUUCGGAAUUAUUGGGCGUAAAGGGCGUGUAGGCGGCUUCGUGUGUCUUCUGUGAAAGCCCUCGGCUCAACCGAGGAACUGCAGGAGAAACUGCGGAGCUCGAGUCCGGGAGAGGAGAGUGGAAUUCCCAGUGUAGCGGUGAAAUGCGUAGAUAUUGGGAGGAACACCUGUGGCGAAGGCGGCUCUCUGGACCGGUACUGACGCUGAGACGCGAAAGCUAGGGGAGCAAACGGG
rnacentral:rRNA from 1 species